UUAGAAUAUCUACUUUCCUUUUUCCCAAACGCAAACAUAUUAUGUCUAACUUUCCAUGAUCUUCCUUUCCUCUGAUCAUCCCUUUCUUCUAUUCUGAUUCAUGGUGAUUAAUCAUCCCCAAGGUUCGAUUUAUUUUUUGUUUUUUCACGUUUAAUAUCUCUCUUUGUUUAUCAUUAGUUUGUUUAUUUAUUUAUUGAUUUUAACAUCAUCUUCUACAUCGAAGUCAGUUUGACGACAAUUUCUCACACACUGAGGAUUUUGAUACGGUUGUAUCCAUAAAGUUAGGGUUAACAUGUGAUCACCUGGAUAGCAGAAAUCCAAAGGAUGUCUUCUCUGUUAACAUGAUCUUAAUGGACGAAGAGAUGCUUUUGGUUAUUUGACCAUGUAAAAGGUACAUCCAUAACACGAUUAAGCCCUCAAAUCUCACAUGGACCGUCAUGUACCGAAAGCAACACAAGAUGCGCAAAAUUUUCUGAUAAGCUGCAUGUGUUAUGUUAAUGUUAAGCAAAGCUUUUAGUUAUUAUAUUAGUAUUUGAUUUAAAUGUUAGAAUAUAACCACCAUCAUUAAAUAUGAGUUAAGGUUUCAACCGAAUUUAUGAAAUUUUGUCCACAUUUGG
rnacentral:lncRNA from 1 species